AAUCAACGCUGGCGGCGUGCCUAACACAUGCAAGUCGAACGAGAAAGGGGAGCAAUCCCUGAGUACAGUGGCGACCGGGUGAGUAACACGUGACUACCUGCCCUUGAGUGGGGGAUAACCCCGGGAAACCGGGGCUAAUACCGCAUAAUAUCGCAAGAUCAAAGGAGCAAUCCGCUUUUGGAGGGGGUCGCGGCUGAUUAGCUAGUUGGUGAGGUAAUGGCUCACCAAGGCGAAGAUCGGUAUCCGGCCUGAGAGGGCGCACGGACACACUGGAACUGAAACACGGUCCAGACUCCUACGGGAGGCAGCAGUGGGGAAUUUUGCGCAAUGGGGGAAACCCUGACGCAGCAACGCCGCGUGGAGGAUGAAGGCCCUUGGGUCGUAAACUCCUUUCGACCGGGACGAUACUGACGGUACCGGUGGAAGAAGCACCGGCUAACUCUGUGCCAGCAGCCGCGGUAAUACAGAGGGUGCGAGCGUUGUUCGGAAUUAUUGGGCGU
rnacentral:rRNA from 1 species